CAUUAACCCCGCUGAGCGAGGCCAGGGAUCGAACCUGUGUCCUCAUGGAUGCUAGUCAGAUUUGUUUCCACCAAGCCAUGGCGGGAACUCUGCAUGCUGCAGUUUAGAAAAUGCUGUCAUGUAGGUUAGCUGAUGUGACUUAGGAGGGGGCAAGGGAUUCUGGUUUCUCUCUGGAUCCAGAGCCUUCCACCGCCUUCUAUCCUCUUAGGUGAGGCGGCGAGCCACAGCCUGGGGGCGCGGGGUGGGGGCUGCCCUUUCCCGAGCUAGUUAGGUUUCAGGAUGCAUUUUUCCUGACAUCAAGAAGCUGAUUAAGUGUUCUGGUAGCGAGUCUCGUAAGGGGUCACUUGAGGUACCGCUAAGCAGAGGGAGUGGCGGACUCAACAAGUACUUGAGAGCAGGUCGGACCUUAGUGAGGCCACAUGUUAGUCAUGGGGCUGGGAAUUGUUGUAAGUGGCCCAGAGAGUGUGCACCUACCCCCCACUUUUCCUAGUGGGCGGUAAGGGGCUGCGGACGACAGGAAUUACUGGAACUGGUGAUUCAGCUCUGAUUACAAAGGAGGUAAAAAGAAAAAAUUUUUUUUUUUUUUUUAAUGAGAGAAUAACUCUUCUUUAAAACAUGCCAAGUGUAGUCAUGGGUUAUGUCCCAAAUUUGUACUUUCCCACUUGAGUGGUCCUCCUCCACAGCCAGGCUGUACAUGGAAGAAAGCAGCACUCAUUGUGCCUUUGAACUAGUUCUGUGAAUGGAAAGCCCCCGAUAGGAGCCGCAGAGUUGUUAUCACUUAAUGACGUGAUCCUGAAAAAGCUCGCAUUCCUGCUUCUCCGUUUCCUUAUUUAUAAAUAGAGACGGAAAAUAAAAAGCCCUAUUAAAGUUGAUGGGAGAGGUCGAAAUGAAUAGGAAUUUCAAACUAAUGAUCCCUUCACAUUUUUUGAUGAGGGGAAUCGGGAAGAAAGGUGAGGCUUUGGUUAGGAAAUGGUAGGUGGUUCAUGGCUGUUCGUGUACAUAAGUCUGCAGUGGAGACAGGAUUGGUCAGAGCUAACACUUGCGGUCAGUUGAAUGGUUCAACAAGAAAAGCCAUUGAGACUCCUGGAAGCGCUGCCUUUGACCCAUUUUAUGAAUAAAAAUUAAUUUCAACAAACGUUUGUGGAGCCCUCGCCGAGUGCCAUGCGGUGUCCCACGCACUGGUCAAUACUAAUAAAGGGAAAUCAUGUCUCGACCCUGAUGGAGCUUACGGCUCAGUGUGAGCCUCCAUCAAAGAUUCAGACAAAGACGGAAAACUGCAGCCCUGCUAGGUGCACUUCGGGAGGGAAGGCAGCACACAGCAGGUCUGCCAAAGAGAUCAGCUGGUCGCUCCUAAGAGGAGGCAGGACGGAGGCCCUUGUGAUCUCUGCUUUUAAACAACAGGGGCAGAGGUACUCAUGUGGCCAGUCGGUCACAAAUGGACAACCUGACAGUGGCUGUCAAGGUGCCCCGUGUGCUCCGGGCUCAGGUGGAAACGGAGAGGAUUUCUGGCACGUGUUUGCCGGUCCCUUCUCAGUUCUCCGCUGAGACCCAGAGGCUGAGAAAAUCUUUUGGCUCGUGCCAGCUGGCCUCCCAGGGCACCGGGCCUGACACUCUGCCGAGUCUGAGAGCUGUACACCGACUUGCUGUGCUGGAUCCGUGGAACUGAGAUGACAACUGAUCUUGUCCUUGAUCAGGUGGCUGCACCAGGUUUUCAUUUAAAUAUAUAAUAUUCAGUCCUUCAGCUGGAAAGGGGAUGGCUGCCACGCUGGGCAAAGCCUCCGGUGUGCUAUGGCACCACGUGACCCGCCAGGGGGACUCCCCCCUCCUCCUGCCCAGGUUGCUAGAAAAAGUAACAGGAGUCCUUGGCAGGCAGCUCUGUCUCAGAUGAUGAUGAAGAUUGGGAAACACUGAAUUAUGAAAUAAAGGAAGGCAGUUGGGGUGCUUUCAUCACCCUUGGCACAUGACUCCUAAGUUACAGUAAUGAGCUCAGCCCUGUGAUGGUAUAUCACAGGCCGCCUGGCUUGGCUUAAGCAAUUUUUUUCCAGUGUGUUCUCGUCAACAGACUCAGGAGGCAACAGCUGACCCCAAGUGGAUGACACUGGAUGGUUAAAACGGAAACGAGUGAACUGCUCCCCCAUACUCUUCUCUGGGGGAAGUGAGACAGGCAGGAUUCCGGAAGGCUCUUGUUUGAAGAGGCUGAUCGUCCUGCUCCAGGCACUUCCCUGAGUGGUGCUGAACUGCAGAGCAUGGGCGCAGAAGAGGCCGAAGGGGUUUCGGAGGAUUUCUCUUUGAGACGAGCGGACUAUUUACCCACAAUAAAAAGAGCUGGCUCCUCUUGG